rnacentral:rRNA from 1 species
AACGAACGCUGGCGGCAGGCUUAACACAUGCAAGUCGAACGCCCCGCAAGGGGAGUGGCAGACGGGUGAGUAACGCGUGGGAACGUGCCCUUCGCUUCGGAAUAUUCCCGGGAAACUGGGAGCAAUGCCGGAUACGCCGAAUUGGGAAAGAUUUAUCGGCGAAGGAUCGGCCCGCGUUAGAUUAGGUAGUUGGUGGGGUAAUGGCCUACCAAGCCUACGAUCUAUAGCUGGUCUGAGAGGAUGAUCAGCCACACUGGGACUGAGACACGGCCCAGACUCCUACGGGAGGCAGCAGUGGGGAAUCUUGCGCAAUGGGCGAAAGCCUGACGCAGCCAUGCCGCGUGAAUGAUGAAGGUCUUAGGAUUGUAAAAUUCUUUCAGUAGGGACGAUAAUGACGGUACCUACAGAAGAAGCCCCGGCUAACUUCGUGCCAGCCGCCGCUGUAAUAC